GUACUAUAGAAAUCCCCCAUGAUGGCCUAAUUCUAUAUUUGAGGUUCUUUGAGUGUUGCCAAUAUAAAUCCUGGACUUCGUAAGGAGCCCAAAGAUUUGCUCCCAACUUCGAAAGAUCCAAACCAUAAAAGUCCACCCUGAGACCAUUUCUUUAUGUCAUGGAACUAAAGUACUUCCUCUGUGUGUUGUGAAGGAAAAGGAAGACCAGAUUUAUACAUAUGGCUCUUUGGGCCAACAGUUGCAUGCAAAGUUCUUUCAGUUUUGGCUCCUGCCUCUAAACUCUAUUGAGCACUUUAAAGCAACGUCAUUCUGGGACUUCCCUGGUGGGCCAGGGGUUAAGAAUCCACCUUGCAAGGCAGGGGUCGAGGUUGGGAUUCCUGGUCAGGGACCUAAGAUCCCACGUGCCGGGGAGAAACUAAGCUCACACACGGCAACUAGAGGGCCUGUGCGCCACAGUGAGAGGCCCUGGAGCUGCAGCUGAGACCUGAUGGAGUGGGGGCUUCCCUGGUGGCUCAGUGGUAAAGAAUCCAUCUGCCAAUGAAGGAGACAUGAGUUCGAUCCCUGAUCUGAGACGAUCCCACGUGCCAUGGAGCAAGUCAGCCCGCGGGCCACAACUACUGAGCCUGUGCUCUAGAGUCCAGCAGCCUCAACUACUGAGCCCCAGUGCCCUAGAGCCGGUGCUCCACAAGAGAAGCCACUGCAGUGAGAAGCCUGCACACCACAUCUAGGCAGCAGGCCCUGCUUCCCGCAGCAGAGAAAAGUCCACACAGCAACAAAGACCCAGCACACCCGAUAAGUAAAUAAACAAAGUUACUGCAAAAUAAAGCAAUGUGGUUCUCUUACUAGGCUUCGGAACAAGACUUGGCCCACGACUUAUUUCUGGGUGUCCAGGGUAGGAAAAGCGGUGCCCACAAAAUCGUGGUGGCAAUUAGACUUUGGGCACUUGGUUUGCACAGGGAGCCUGCCUCUGCCCUGAGCACCAAGGCUUAGGAAGGCCCCCGCUGCCUUUUCUACGUCAUUGCAGGCCCCCCC
ensembl:lncRNA